rnacentral:rRNA from 1 species
CAGGUCUUGACAUACCAGUGACCGUCCUAGAGAUAGGACUUUCCCUUCGGGGACAAUGGAUACAGGUGGUGCAUGGUUGUCGUCAGCUCGUGUCGUGAGAUGUUGGGUUAAGUCCCGCAACGAGCGCAACCCCUGUCGUUAGUUGCCAGCAUUCAGUUGGGGACUCUAACGAGACUGCCAGUGACAAACUGGAGGAAGGUGGGGAUGACGUCAAAUCAUCAUGCCCCUUAUGACCUGGGCUACACACGUGCUACAAUGGUUGGUACAAAGAGAAGCGAAGCGGUGACGUGGAGCAAACCUCAUAAAGCCAGUCUCAGUUCGGAUUGUAGGCUGCAACUCGCCUACAUGAAGUUGGAAUCGCUAGUAAUCGCGAAUCAGCA